rnacentral:tRNA from 1 species
GGAUUAUGGCUCAGCGAUAGAGCGCUUGCCUAGCACGUAAGACGCCCUGGGUUCAAUCCUCACCACCA